rnacentral:lncRNA from 1 species
GCAUGGUAGAGUUGAGCUUAGUUCGGUGUGUAUGUGUUGCGCUCUUUAACCGAGUUGUAAAAGCAAUCAGAGCAGAAACUGGCUACUCUUUAGUUGACUGAUGUACCUGGCAAGAAGUGAUACUUCCUAGUCGUUGAGUUAGCAGCGGCCGCUGUAGACGUGGGCUAGGAAAGGACGGAUGACGGAUCCAAUCUAACACACAACGAAGAUACUACAACGUAUCCAAUUUACCACCAGUGACAUUCUUCCGAGGACAGGAAGAUCUCUGUUGGCCAACACGGCCAGCAUCUAUGCGCAGCUCAGAGAUCAGACGGUGACAGGGAUCUCAGCAGGGUCAGGUAGCCAGGGAAGUCUAUGACAGGUGUUGCCCAUCUUCGCUAUUAUCCCCUGUGUAUUUAUACCUGUGUUCUCUGUCUGUUUGUUGUCAGUUUGUCUUGUUCAUUCAAGCUUUCCAGCAUUUUUCCUGUCAGCGCCUGUCGGUUGCCUCUCUUUACUUGUCCUUACGGGACUGUUUUCGUCGUUUGUUUUGUGUAAGAGUUUUGUUGUUUUUCCUUCAAAUAAAAGAAGAUGAUAAAUAUACCCGCUGCAGUUUGGUCCACUCCAUACGACGACCGUUACAGAACCACCCACCAACGAAGGACCAAGCAGCGGAGGAAGGAGCAGCAGGGUAAAGAGGACUGGACAUGGGAGGACAUCCUGGACGGCAAGGGAUCCUACACUUGGGAAGAGAUCCUGGCCGGAAGGGAUCGCCUCCCAUGGGAACAGGUGGAGGCACUCAGAAGAGCGGAGGCAGCAGGAGAAAAGGACCAACGACGAAGGUAUGAGGGAACACGGCUGGCAAGGAAGCCUGAAAGGCAGCCCCAAAAACAUUUUGGGGGGGGGCACACGGGUAGUUUGGCUGGGCCAAGGGUUAGUCCUGAGCCAACUCCCCGUGCUUAUUAUGGGGAGCGAUGGAUCAAGCAAGCACCAUGUUAUGCGGAGAUACACACGGUAUCGCCAGUGCGCAGCUACAGUCCGGUGCGCUUGAUGAAAGCUCCUCACAGGGGUCAUGUUAGAGCCAGCAUCGAGCCAGGACCGGUGAUGCAAGUAGCAAGCAUCAGACCGCCGGUGAGGGUUCAUGGCCCAGUGUAUCCUGUUCCUGCUCCGCGCACUGGCCCUGAGGUGCGUGUUACUAGGCUGGUGCCUCCUAAACCAGCCCCACGCAUCAGGCCUCUAGGGCGCCUGCCCAGUCCAGUACGUCAUGUUCCUGCUCCUCGCACUAGCCCUGAGGUGCAUGUCCAUAGUCUGGCGCCUCCAAAGCCAGCCCCACGCACCAGACCUUUAGUGCGCCUGCCCAGUCCAGUACGUCCUGUUCCUGCUCCUCGCACUAGCCUUGAGGUGCGUGUCACUAGUCUGGCGCCUCCAAAGCCCCACGCAUCAGGCCUUCAGUGCGCAGUCCCCGUCCAGAGCUUCCGGCGACAG